rnacentral:rRNA from 1 species
GACGAACGCUGGCAGCGUGCUUAACACAUGCAAGUCGAACGGAAAGGCCCUGCUUGCAGGGUACUCGAGUGGCGAACGGGUGAGUAACACGUGGGUGAUCUGCCCUGCACUUCGGGAUAAGCCUGGGAAACUGGGUCUAAUACCGGAUAGGAGCCAUUUUUAGUGUGAUGGUUGGAAAGUUGUUUCGGUGUAGGAUGAGCUCGCGGCCUAUCAGCUUGUUGGUGGGGUAAUGGCCUACCAAGGCGGCGACGGGUAGCCGGCCUGAGAGGGUGGACGGGCACAUUGGGACUGAGAUACGGACCAGACUGCUACGGGAGGCAGUAGUGGGGAAUCUUGCACAAUGGGCGCAAGCCUGAUGCAGCGACGCCGCGUGGGGGAUGACGGCCUUCGGGUUGUAAACUGCUUUCGCUAGGGACGAAGCUUUUUGUGACGGUACCUAGAUAAGAAGCACCGGCGAACUACGU